CAGCCGCCGCGGUAAUACGAAGGGGGCUAGCGUUGUUCGGAUUUACUGGGCGUAAAGCGCACGUAGGCGGAUCGAUCAGUCAGGGGUGAAAUCCCAGAGCUCAACUCUGGAACUGCCUUUGAUACUGUCGAUCUGGAGUAUGGAAGAGGUGAGUGGAAUUCCGAGUGUAGAGGUGAAAUUCGUAGAUAUUCGGAGGAACACCAGUGGCGAAGGCGGCUCACUGGUCCAUUACUGACGCUGAGGUGCGAAAGCGUGGGGGGCAAACAGGAUUAGAUACCCCCGUAGUCCCUGUCUCUUAUAC
rnacentral:rRNA from 1 species